AGAGCGAACGCUGGCGGCAGGCCUAAUACAUGCAAGUCGAACGGAUCCUUCGGGAUUAGUGGCGGACGGGUGAGUAACACGUGGGAACGUGCCCUUUGGUUCGGAACAACUCAGGGAAACUUGAGCUAAUACCGGAUGUGCCCUUCGGGGGAAAGAUUUAUCGCCAUUGGAGCGGCCCGCGUCUGAUUAGCUAGUUGGUGGGGUAAAGGCCCACCAAGGCGACGAUCAGUAGCUGGUCUGAGAGGAUGAUCAGCCACACUGGGACUGAGACACGGCCCAGACUCCUACGGGAGGCAGCAGUAGGGAAUCUGCGCAAUGGGCGAAAGCCUGACGCAGCAACGCCGCGUGAGGGAUGGAGGCCUUCGGGUUGUAAACCUCUUUCAGCAGGGACGAUUGUGACGGUACCUGCAGAAGAACGCCCCGGCAACUACGCGCCAGCAGCCGC
rnacentral:rRNA from 1 species